rnacentral:rRNA from 1 species
AGAGUUUGAUCCUGGCUCAGGACGAACGCUGGCGGCGUGCUUAACACAUGCAAGUCGUACGAGACGAUUGAAAGCUUGCUUUUGAAAGUCGAGUGGCAAACGGGUGAGUAACGCGUAGACAACCUGCCGUAAAGAUGGGGACAACAGUCCGAAAGGACUGCUAAUACCGAAUGUUGUGGAACUUCUGCAUGGGAGCUCCACUAAAGAUGGCCUCUACUUGUAAGCUAUCGCUUUACGAUGGGUCUGCGUCUGAUUAGCUAGUUGGUGGGGCAACGGCCUACCAAGGCGACGAUCAGUAGCCGGUCUGAGAGGAUGAACGGCCACAUUGGAACUGAGACACGGUCCAGACUCCUACGGGAGGCAGCAGUGGGGAAUCUUCCGCAAUGGGCGCAAGCCUGACGGAGCAACGCCGCGUGAGUGAAGAAGGGUUUCGACUCGUAAAGCUCUGUUGUCGGGGACGAACGUGGAGAUGGUGAAUAACCAUUUCCAAUGACGGUACCUGACGAGGAAGCCACGGCUAACUACGUGCCAGCAGCCGCGGUAAUACGUAGGUGGCGAGCGUUGUCCGGAAUUAUUGGGCGUAAAGGGAGCGCAGGCGGGAGAUCAAGUCUAUCUUAAAAGUGCGGGGCUCAACCCCGUGAGGGGAUGGAAACUGGUCUUCUUGAGUGCAGGAGAGGAAAGCGGAAUUCCUAGUGUAGCGGUGAAAUGCGUAGAUAUUAGGAGGAACACCAGUGGCGAAGGCGGCUUUCUGGACUGUAACUGACGCUGAGGCUCGAAAGCGUGGGGAGCGAACAGGAUUAGAUACCCUGGUAGUCCACGCCGUAAACGAUGAAUGCUAGGUGUAGGAGGUAUCGACCCCUCCUGUGCCGGAGUUAACGCAAUAAGCAUUCCGCCUGGGGAGU